CUCCUUAAAUCCUUAAAAGCAGUUCAUCAGCUUCAGUCAGAGCUACAUGAGACACUACUAAAGAAAAUGACUAGUCCAAAUGAAAAACCUUUACAACCUUUACCCUAUAAGCCGGGAGAUUUGGUUUUUAUUCGCAGGUUUGAUUCCAAGACCCUGGAACCUCGUUGGAAGGGACAGGUUCCUGUUGUCCGGUCUCCCUUGGCAGUGAAGGUGGCUGGACAUUCUGCUUGGAUACAUCACAACCAUCUAAAAGCAGGACCCCCCAAGGAUGUCAAAAAGGACAAAUGGAAGGUUAUCAGCCAACCAGACCAUGUUUGGAAUGACCAUCACUGGGGAAAGCUACCCUGGCACCAAGGGACAAAGCUGCAGAUGAUUAGUUGUCAAUGCUUUUAGAAGUGAAGAAAAUUCAUCACAAUAUGGGGGAAAGUUGUGAGCAUGAAAGAGCAACUUUUGUGUCAACUCUACCAAAGUAAGUAGAGUGGUAAAAGUUAUGAAAUAGGGUUCUUGUGCAUGAUUGCUGAAAAGCAAAAGGAUCUUCUAGCAGGUGUAGUGAUUAAACAUUUCUUGACUUUGGCUUUCUUUUAUAUUUAACCUCACAAUUUUUCCAUGAUACUUUUUCAGGCUCCAGCAUCUGGCUUUCCCUUGUUUAUGCUCCUGCCACCUGUGCAUGCCAAUCCAACAUGAGACAGCCAGACAGGUGAUGUGGCACCUCAAGGCCCUCCAGAUUGAGAGCUGGAAUAAAGCAAGGGGGGAAUUGUAAGCAGCACUCCAAAAUGGAACUUUAAAGGUUAGGUUUUUUCUUUCAGAGAUAAGCAACUUCUUCAAACUUCCUCUUGCUGUGCACCUAGUGGAUAUCUUCUUCCUCCUGGUCUCAGAUGAAGUGAUGGAUAUGCAGAUGCCACCAGCUGCCCCCCCUCCCUCCCUGAGGCCGGGCCCAUUUUCCUUUUCACAAGAAAGAGGAGGAUGAGCUAAAGAUGACUGAAAGUGAUAAAGCAAGUGUGAAGUUCUGCUGUUAUCUCUCUGUGCUCCCCUCACCUCUGUUCCUUUCUUUAAAAGACACAUCUGUAUACAGAGAGAUGGUGAUUCAAAAUAAAUUUCUCCUUUUUAUCAAAAUAUAUGGCCUCCUUUGAUUUGGUCAGUGGUGAGUGAAUAAACCUAAGUGGCUGGUAAUACUAUGGUUAAUAUGCUAAGGAAUAAUGGAGAAAGUAGAC
rnacentral:lncRNA from 1 species